UGCGAUCAGUCGUCCAAAACCUUCAGUUGAUUCAGCAUUUUAAGAAGCAGAGCACUGAGCAUUCGCCUCAAAGAGAGAGACUCAACUUCUGGAUGGACAUUAUUGUGGAGGCCACACAAGGAAGCACCAACGGCCUGCGUUUUCCGGUGUUGAUUCUGGAGCCGACUAAAGUGUACCAGCCCUCGUACGUGUCCAUUAACAGUGAAGCUGAAGAGAAGAAUGUUUCUAUAUGGCAUGUGUCACCUGCUGAGACGAAGGGAAUACAUGAGUGGAACUUCACAGCAUCAUCCAUCAAAGGGAUUAG